UGACAAAACCCAGAAGAACAACGGAUGCUAUUUGUGGACUGAAUGUUUGUGUCUCCCUAGAAUUCAUGUUAAAACCCUAUUCCCCAAUGUGAUAGCAUUAGGAGUUGGGCCUUUGAGAGGUUAGUAGGAUUAGAUAAGGUCAUAAUGGUGGAGCCCUCAUAAAUGGGAUUAGUGCCCUUAUAAGAGUCACAAGAGAGAUUAUUUCCCUUCUCUGCUCUCCACCAUGUGAGGAUAAAAUGAGAAGCGGCAGUCUGGAACCUGGAAAAGAACCCUCAUCAGAAACUGACCAUGCUGGCACCCUAAAACUUGGACUUCCAGCCUCCAGAAUUGACAAGUGUGCAGAGAUGCUACCUGGUGUAUGUCUGGAAGACAGCAGAUUGUGGAUCCCAGGUGAUAUGCCUGCUUCCACUUCACCUUCAGCCAUGAUUGCAAGUUUCCUGACACUUCCCUAGAAGCCAGGCAGAUGCUAGCAUUAUGCUUCCUGUACAGCCUGCAAAACUACUUCUGGUUUCUGUCAAGAUGAAGUAAGCCCACUGAAUCUUAUCUCCUCCCAUGAUUACAACUAAGAUAUCUAGGCAAGAUACGGAAAGCAACUACAUGAGGGCUCUGAAAAGUCAACAAUAGCAAAAGAAUUGAAAACUCUGUUGGAAGCCUUACCUACUCACAAAGCUGCACUGCUGUUGGAACAACAUGAACACCCAAAACAGCAACAACAGCAAAAUCCAAGUUCAUUUUUGGCCAGAGGAACCAAGAGGCCCUGUGUUCUAAAGGGGUAGGGGGGAUUCCUCCUACAUUUUUCUUUUUUCUUGCCAUUUUUUCCUGAAGGUUAAAGCCAUACAAAACUACAGGAAAGUAUAGGAAACUAAAAUUCUGAGUGAAAUGUCAGCUUUUUAGCCAGAGGACAGGAGAAAUGUACCCACAGAGAAACUCCUGGGAAGGAAGAACUGGAGAAGAGGAUUCCCUACUUUUAUCUGUGAACUGGCUCAAGUUCUGG